rnacentral:RNase_P_RNA from 1 species
UAUAUCAGCUGAUAGCUAUGUUAUUAAUUUAAUGUAGAGGAAAGUCCGUGCUUAAGCACCAACUGAGAUGUUGGUAGUGUUUGUGUUAAACCUAAUAAGUUUAAGCUUAGACGACUAGUCACAGAGACGAGUAAAGUGAAACGCGGUAAACUCCACAAGCUAGAAACCCAAAUUUGGUAGGGGAACCAAAACGCGAGAAAUGAAUUAAGUUUUGGAACAUUUUCAAUGUUAGAUAAAUUAUCAGCACCUAUUUUAGGAACAGAACACGAUUUUUUAU